UACGUAGGGAGCAAGCGUUGUUCGGAUUUACUGGGCGUAAAGGGCGCGUAGGCGGCAUAUUAAGUCAUCUGUGAAAUCUCCGAGCUUAACUCGGAACUGUCAGCUGAUACUGAUGUGCUAGAGUGCGGAAGGGGCAAUCGGAAUUCUUGGUGUAGCGGUGAAAUGCGUAGAUAUCAAGAGGAACACCUGAGGUGAAGACGGGUUGCUGGGCCGACACUGACGCUGAGGAGCGAAAGCGUGGGGAGCGAACAGG
rnacentral:rRNA from 1 species